GGGAUAGAAGCUCAGUGGUUGAGCAAUCGAUUGCAGUUAUUACAUAAUUGAUUAUAUAAGCAUUUCUAUCGAUAGGUCGCGUGUUCGAAUCACGUCUGUCCCU